ensembl:snRNA LOC120101994 U7 small nuclear RNA
GAGAGCUAACAGCUCUUUUAGAAAUUUUCUGGAGGAUUUUCUGAUUUGGGUUAGAAAAUCUGA